GCCUCGGUAGUCUAAUGGUUCAGGACGCUCGUAUGGAAUACAAGAGAUCCAGGUUCGACUCCUGGCCGAGAUA
rfam:Trachymyrmex zeteki contig14578, whole genome shotgun sequence.